AUCAAUCGACACAUCACUUUACGCAGACUGCAACAAAUCAUUGAUGGUAAACACCGCCUACAAGUUUCCCGUUUUGCAUAGAUAAAAGAUCAGCAGAGCGGAGGAAUUUCAGUAGAACGAAAAACAUCAAAAAAGGAGGGUCAAAGCACUGAAAGGAAAGAUUCGUGAAAAAGUUUUUCAAGGACGAAAGAUACAAUGAACAAGAUUUUAAAUAGCAUUGUAUUUCUAAUGGCCAUUGUGGUAAAAAUGAUGGAGUCAUCUGGUGAAAACACUGCAAAAUUUCCCAUAAAAAAUCAGCUUCUUGGUUUAUGUGAUAUUGAUGACACAAAUAUCGCUUGGUGUGAAUGGAAACGGUUUAUGAAAGAAAGCUAUGAUCACCAGAAACAACGAAAGACAAAAGAAGAGCUUGCUGGCCUGGGUUGGGUAGACCGUGUGAGGAUUUACGAAAUCGAAACGUCCGCGAUAUUGAAAUGAAAAAGCAAGAUGACGAUUAUCCAGUGACAGGAAAAGGCGAAAGCUGGAAAACUGAUGUGGAUAAAAGCCAUCAACAAAAACCUCCAUUUAAUAAGCUUGACUGGAAAAAAGCCAACACUAAAUUGCAUUCCAAAGACAUCAUCGGAAGUGAAAAUAGAGAUCUUAUCAAAGGUACAACGAAAUGUCCACCAGGAAUGCUGAACUGUCAACGAUCCAAAAAUAGAAGAUUGAAAGAUAUGGCUGAGAUCAAACGUGCAAUGAAAUGUCGUCCAGGAAUGGUGAAUUGUCGAAGACGCAAGAAUGGUAAAAGAGGAUUGAAAGGUAUAACUAAACAAAAACACUGUCCACAAGGAUGGAUAUUCUGCGUUUACAAAAACAACAUUUAAACGGUUAACUGUAAAAAUACACCUCAUUCAUACAUAGUUAUAGUCUUAGGUUCUAUGCAUAUCAUCUGGAUAUAAGUAUUUAAUAAUAUUAUUUAAAGCAACAAUAAAGAAGUCUAAAAAAAGGUCAUGUUGCACUCUUCGUCGAAUAUUAUUGAAUUAUAAACAAGUUCUAUGCAAGAUUGAUGCGCAUAUUACUCGAUAUCAUUUUGAUAUUUUAUAAUCAGUUAUGUUUAUUUAUUAACUUUUAUAACAAGUUGGAAUGUUAUUAGAAAAGAUUGUAAAAGGUACAACCACCAGUGCCAAAUAUACGAGCAUUUCCUUUGCUCGGUAAAUCAGAUGGCAAUUUUGUUUUUCAACGUUUGUUUUUAUUAAGAACGUUCAAAAAACUUUUGAAACAUGACUUCACAGAGCAAAGACUUAUAUGAAAUACGAAUAACUGGCUGCGCAAGCGAAACGUAUAUGAGUGAGAUUGAGAUUUAAAUUCGUACAGCUCAUGCUAACUUUAAAUUAAUAACCACAAAACUUUGAAAAUUAUAUGUUAUAAAAAUAGGGAUCAAAGGAUAGUGGAAAGUUUAAAAAAAACCACCGCUUUUUAACUCGUAAGUUGUAUCAACCAUAAAAUGCUUCGUAUAUUUAUUUCAUUUCUCCAUUAACACCCAUUUAAUUUUGAUUCUUGAUUCAUGCCUAUGUUUGUGGCGGAAAGCCAAAGCCAUACGACUUUUUUUCAAAUCAAAGGAAACAUUGUAUACUAUCAUAUUUACUCACUUUAUUUGAGAAUAAAUUUCAUAUUUCAGUCUUA